rnacentral:rRNA from 1 species
UACGUAGGGCGCAAGCGUUAUCCGGAAUUAUUGGGCGUAAAGAGCUCGUAGGCGGUUUUGUCGCGUCUGCCGUGAAAAGUCCGGGGCUCAACUCCGGAUCUGCGGUGGGUACGGGCAGACUAGAGUGUGGUAGGGGAGAUUGGAAUUCCUGGUGUAGCGGUGGAAUGCGCAGAUAUCAGGAGGAACACCGAUGGCGAAGGCAGAUCUCUGGGCCGUAACUGACGCUGAGGAGCGAAAGCUGGGGAGCGAACAGG